CCCAGCCUUCCAGCCACAGAGCAAGCCACAGAGUAAGAAGUGAAGAAAGGUAGACGGAACCCGAGAAAGAUUAAAAGCCUGGACGCAAAAGAGAGACAGGAUAAUUUAAGAAAAGCUGGCAAGAAAGGAGCCAAGUUUUAGGAGAGAAACUAUUCUCAAACACUCCAAGGCCAGUAUGUCGCCAAUGCCAAAAGUAGGCAGGAAUCUUGCAAACAGAGAUGACUGCAAGCAAGCAUGUCUCAAGAUCAGAGCACGGGAGGCAGCUAUGCAGCACGGGUGACCCGGGAGUGACUGGAGGGGGAAAAAGCAAGGAAAACGUGUGUACACGUCAAGAGAAUCAAACACCCUUGGCAGCUCCAGACCACCUUCUGAGACCAUAUAACCAGUCCUGUUCAUGCUUGCCUCAAAGCCUGACAUGCUUAUUCUCAUUUCUGUACCAGAUAUCGGAAUCGCACACACACAGUUCAGAAACUAUCCUUUUAUCGUAUCUUGGAGUAUUUGGAGUUUAAGCCUUGGAGAAGAAUUCUGCAGCUGAAAGAAGGGUUGCACAAUCUACUCAAAGUCUGGGCACACUGACUGCUUACUGUGAUGUGACACAAAGCUCUAAGGAACAGGAAUGAGAUUAAAGCAGUCUGCCAGGCUCUGUCCUAUGAGCUUUGUAAGUGACCAGAAGACCCAGCAGUGACCCUUGCAGGGGCAAAGAUAUGUGCUGGUACAAUGCUGGUUCUGCUAUCAGCAAUCUUGGGGUACACAAGAAGUUCCAAGAAUCAAUACAGUUUCUCAAUGCUGACUCCAGUUUGAUUCAAGGACACUGCUGUCACCAGAGUUCCGGACCCAGAAUACUGCAGCUUUCUCCAACUCCUU